rnacentral:rRNA from 1 species
GACAGAGGGUGCAAACGUUGUUCGGAAUUACUGGGCGUAAAGCGAGUGUAGGCGGUUUGAUAAGUCGGAUGUGAAAGCCCCGGGCUCAACCCGGGAAGUGCACUCGAUACUGUCAAGCUAGAGUAUCGGGAGAGGUUGGUGGAAUUCUCGGUGUAGAGGUGAAAUUCGUAGAUAUCGAGAGGAACACCGGUGGCGAAGCGGCCAACUGGACGAAUACAUGACGCUGGAGAACUCGGAAAGCCGUGGGGAGCAAACAGG